rnacentral:rRNA from 1 species
AGGUAUUGAAAUAAGACUUUAAUUGAGUGCUAAGAGAAWGGAAUUACAGGAAAAAUCUUUUUUAAACUUAACAAUUGAAGUUAUUUUUACUUGKGAAGAAACAGUAAUAAAAAUUAAGGACAAGAAGACCCUAAGAAUUUUUAGAAACAUAUUUCAAUAAAGAAGAUAUGUUUYUUUAAUUGGGGSGAUUAAUUAAUAUUAAAAACUUUUUUUGAAAAAACAUGAACCGUUUAAUAGCGGUAAAUUGGAAAAAAUACUCUAGGGAUAACAGCGUA